rnacentral:snRNA from 1 species
AUACCUUUCUCAGCCUUUUAACUAAGAUCAAGUACAGUAUCUGUUCUGAUACGUGGAAAUAAUUUUUUUAGGGGAGGGCCCACCACAGUAGCUUGCUACUGGGGCCCUCGAGCGUCGCCCAUGCUUUGCACUACGGCACGAGCCUGGCGCACCCCCG